rnacentral:rRNA from 1 species
UACAUGGGGUGCAAACGUUGCUCGGAAUUAUUGGGCGUAAAGCGCACGUAGGCGGUUCGUUAAGUCGGAUGUGAAAGCCCGCUGCUUAACGGCGGGUUGGCUUCCGGUACGGGCAUCGCUGGAGUGCGGCAGGGAGACUGGAAGUUCCGUGGUGUAGCGGUGGAAUGCGCAGAUAUCGGGAGGAACGACCGGUGGCGAAGGCGGUUCUCUGG